rnacentral:rRNA from 2 species
AAGUCUGAUGGAGCAUGCCGCGUGAGUGAAGAAGGUUUUCGGAUCGUAAAACUCUGUUGUUGAAGAAGAACAUAUGUGAGAGUAACUGUUCACGUACUGACGGUAUUCAACCAGAAAGCCACGGCUAACUACGUGCCAGCAGCCGCGGUAAUACGUAGGUGGCAAGCGUUGUCCGGAUUUAUUGGGCGUAAAGAGAAUGUAGGCGGUUUAUUAAGUUUGAAGUGAAAGCCCUCGGCUCAACCGAGGAAGUGCUUCGAAAACUGGUAAACUUGAGUGCAGAAGAGGAAAGUGGAACUCCAUGUGUAGCGGUGGAAUGCGUAGAUAUAUGGAAGAACACCAGUGGCGAAGGCGGCUUUCUGGUCUGUAACUGACGCUGAGAUUCGAAAGCAUGGGUAGCAAACAGGAUUAGAUACCCUGGUAGUCCAUGCCGUAAACGAUGAGUGCUAAGUGUUGGAGGGUUUCCGCCCUUCAGUGCUGCAGCUAACGCAUUAAGCACUCCGCCUGGGGAGUACGAUCGCAAGAUUGAAACUCAAAGGAAUUGACGGGGGCCCGCACAAGCGGUGGAGCAUGUGGUUUAAUUCGAAGCAACGCGAAGAACCUUACCAGGUCUUGACAUACCAUGAAAAGCUUAGAGAUAAGUCUUUCCCUUCGGGGACAUGGAUACAGGUGGUGCAUGGUUGUCGUCAGCUCGUGUCGUGAGAUGUUGGGUUAAGUCCCGCAACGAGCGCAACCCUUAUUAUCAGUUGCCAGCAUUCAGUUGGGCACUCUGGUGAGACUGCCGGUGAUAAACCGGAGGAAGGUGGGGACGACGUCAAAUCAUCAUGCCCCUUAUGACCUGGGCUACACACGUGCUACAAUGGUCGGUACAACGUGCUGCGAACUCGCGAGGGCAAGCAAAUCACUUAAAACCGAUCUCAGUUCGGAUUGUAGGCUGCA